rnacentral:tRNA from 1 species
AAAUAAGAAGCAAAAAUUUGCGUUUAGUUUCGACCUAAAAAUUUGUCAUUAGAUGUCCUUAUUUA